rnacentral:lncRNA from 1 species
GCAAACACCGCCACUUCCGGGAAAGCCGGCGAACACAAAUCGGCGUGUUAUUGGGAACGGGUGUCUUGUUGAGCGUGGCGAUCACUGAUUGGGCAAUUUGGUGAAGAGGAGACACAUAAAUAGGGCAUCAGAAACACAGGAAGGGCCUGGUGAUUCCCAGUAGUUACUGUGGGCGCAAUGGAGCGGAGGAGAGAGUUGGAGAGAGAGUGUAUGGUGUACUGCGGAGCUUGGGCAAAGAGAGAUACACAUACAGGGCUGAGUAUACGAAUAUCUUUAUUGGAGCAUUGUGUUCAGAUGCAUUGUGUGAUGUGAAGUUAACACACAUUGAAGAUCUGCUAGGAUUGCAGGAAGGAGAUCGUGCUGCCAGUUGUGUCGGAUGUCGGUUAUCUGGAAGAGAAGUGGAGAGAUCCAGUGUUAAUGAAAGUGAUUGGUGGGUGAGCCGGAACCAGCGAAAAAGGAGUCUGGUGCCUUGUCGUGGCUGUGACGUUCCCUCUGGCCGUCUGCUGCAUCGGUGCCCCCAACGUCCAGGAACUAAUCCCCGGUCCUAUGUGGUUUUGACCCUAAUUCACUGUGAGUGUGUGGAGUGUAGUGGGCGAGUCCUUUUCUUUGCUGUGUGUAUACUUGAAGUCUGCAGUGUCGUGCUGUGUCAUGUUGUCAGUCAUCACCCUCUAGGCUGGGAGAGAAAACCCUGUGGAGAAGAACGUGCACCGGUGUUGUGAGACGACCAUCUUUUAUAUACAUGCCCGCUCGCGGCUUUGGACCCCUACUCCGCCGAGUGGCGACGUGCCAACAAUAGCAAGUAAGGAACAGUGUGCAUAUUGUGGGGGACGACGACUGAGAGAAGUGAGGGCUGCUAUAUGAACAUCCAGCUGUGUAGCCCUUGUGUAUGAAUACCUGUUUGGGGAGUACUUUCAGAGGUUCGCCCCUGUCUAGAUCUCUGGUCCGUUGUUUGGAAGAGAGGAGAGGGAAGCAUUCGAGUCAUUCCUGAGGUACAGACCCGGUGGCACAAACCUACCUGAAGUCACCCAGCGUGGUGGCACCAGCUGAGGCCGUGGAAGGCCCAACGUGCAGCGACUUCAAUCUGUACUUCUAUCCACUCUUGGUCAAAUUCGAGAGGUGGUGUGUCUUUCUCCAUAUAUUCACUGAAGCUAAGUAAAUUUGUGAAGGAACUCUGUCUGUCUGUUACUAGUCCUACAGGUCUGAGCUUGAGGCUCUGAGUCGUCGUGGGAGUGUUUCCACGGUUGGAGGUGACCGUGUUGAGUGUUGGUCUGGGAAGUCUGCCCUGGUGAAGAAGACCACAGUUGUCGUGACAUAUACACCUUCUCUAGACUCCCGAGCUGAAAAGGGCUAAAGCCUGACGUCCACCUCUUCGAGGGUCUGUGAGUUGUAUCCAUUCAGUAUUGUCAUUGUAUAUCCACCUGCAUGCCCAGAGCAAAGCUCCAGUUGCCCCUGUAUGCCCAUCUGUACGCCUCAAGCUAAGAGCCAGCGUAUUGCCCUUGUAUACUUACCUGUAUGCCCAAAGUCAAGCUCCAGUUGCCCCUGUAUACCCCUCUGUACGCCUCAAGCUAAGAGCUAGCGUAUUGUCCUUGUAUACUUACUUGUAUGCUCAGAGUCAAGCUCUAGUUGCCCUUGUAUACUCACCUGUACGUCCAAAGUAAAGACCCAGUUGUCCUUCUGCAUACUUACCUGUACGCCCCGAGUGAAAUACCAGUGCAUCGCCCUUGCAUAUAUUCACCUGCAUACUUACCUGUGGACCUUUUAGGCAUUUCCAACCAUGGAUGCCCUUGUAUACUUACCUGUAUGCCCAAAGUCAAGCUCCAGUUGCCCCUGUAUAUCCCUCUGUACGCCUCAAGCUAAGAGCUAGCGUAUUGUCCUUGUAUACUUACUUGUAUGCUCAGAGUCAAGCUCUAGUUGCCCUUGUAUACUCACCUGUACGUCCAAAGUAAAGACCCAGUUGUCCUUCUGCAUACUUACCUGUACGCCCCGAGUGAAAUACCAGUGCAUCGCCCUUGCAUAUAUUCACCUGCAUACUUACCUGUGGACCUUUUAGGCAUUUCCAACCGUGGACCCAGAAUCUCGUGGCGAACGGCGUCAGGUACGCACCUCACCCAAUUCAUCAGAAUUACUUACCUUCUUUACUCUGCGUGCAGGGACUGGAAGGGCCCCACUGACGGUUCUCCUGCAGGAGAAACACAAAGGCACUACUGCGAAAAACCCUGUUGAGUCACGUGAAGGAAAGGACACAAAUUACCUACAGGUUUACCUGAGAGUCCCCGUGACAGAGUCAGAAGCGACUCGGACCUAUACUCUCUGGCCCCGAGAGUGGAUUUUAGAUUCCCUUUUCCCUUCCCUGCACACCUUUUAAAUAAUUUAAAUAAAGUCUGUUUAAUUACACUCCCUCUCUCUCGUGUGUCUGGUCAUUGGGGUGUUCUUGGGACCUCCUCGAGGUGGAAACUAGGGAGGGGCGAGACUCAC